rnacentral:rRNA from 1 species
GACGAACGCUGGCGGCGUGCUUAACACAUGCAAGUCGAACGAUGAAGCUGGAGCUUGCUCCGGUGGAUUAGUGGCGAACGGGUGAGUAACACGUGAGUAAUCUGCCCUUGACUCUGGGAUAACUGCGGGAAACUGUAGCUAAUACCGGAUACGACACCUUCGGGCAUCCGAUGGGUGUGGAAAGAAUUUCGGUCAAGGAUGAACUCGCGGCCUAUCAGCUAGUUGGUGAGGUAAUGGCUCACCAAGGCGACGACGGGUAGCCGGCCUGAGAGGGUGGCCGGCCACACUGGGACUGAGACACGGCCCAGACUCCUACGGGAGGCAGCAGUGGGGAAUAUUGCACAAUGGGCGAAAGCCUGAUGCAGCAACGCCGCGUGAGGGAUGAGGGCCUUCGGGUUGUAAAGCUCUUUCGGCCGGGAAGAAAUCGCACGGGCUAAUACCCUGUGUGGAUGACGGUACCGGAAUAAGAAGCACCGGCUAACUACG